rnacentral:rRNA from 1 species
AGUAACACGUAAACAACCUGCCUUCAGGAUGGGGACAACAGACGGAAACGACUGCUAAUACCGAAUAAGUUCCAAGGGCCGCAUGGCCCAUGGAAGAAAAGGUGGCCUCUACCUGUAAGCUAUCGCCUGAAGAGGGGUUUGCGUCUGAUUAGUUGGUUGGAGGGGUAACGGCCCACCAAGGCGAAGAUCAGUAGCCGGUCUGAGAGGAUGAACGGCCACACUGGAACUGAGACACGGUCCAG